rnacentral:rRNA from 1 species
GACGAACGCUGGCGGCGUGCCUAAUACAUGCAAGUCGAGCGGACAGAUGGGAGCUUGCUCCCUGAUGUUAGCGGCGGACGGGUGAGUAACACGUGGGUAACCUGCCUGUAAGACUGGGAUAACUCCGGGAAACCGGGGCUAAUACCGGAUGSUUGUUUGAACCGCAUGGUUCAGACAUAAAAGGUGGCUUCGGCUACCACUUACAGAUGGACCCGCGGCGCAUUAGCUAGUUGGUGAGGUAACGGCUCACCAAGGCRACGAUGCGUAGCCGACCUGAGAGGGUGAUCGGCCACACUGGGACUGAGACACGGCCCAGACUCCUACGGGAGGCAGCAGUAGGGAAUCUUCCGCAAUGGACGAAAGUCUGACGGAGCAACGCCGCGUGAGUGAUGAAGGUUUUCGGAUCGUAAAG